UGGCGAACGGGUGAGUAACACGUGGGUGAUCUGCCCUGCACUCUGGGAUAAGCCUGGGAAACUGGGUCUAAUACCGGAUAGGACCAUGCUUUAGUGUGUGUGGUGGAAAGUUUUUUCGGUGUAGGAUGAGCCCGCGGCCUAUCAGCUUGUUGGUGGGGUAAUGGCCUACCAAGGCGGCGACGGGUAGCCGGACUGAGAGGUUGGUCUGCCACAUUGGGACUGAGAUACGGCCCAG
rnacentral:rRNA from 1 species